rnacentral:tRNA from 1 species
GAGGGUGUAGCUCAAGGGUAGAGCGCCUGCUUAGCAUGCACAAGGUCCUGGGUUCAAUCCCCAGUACCCCCA